rnacentral:lncRNA from 1 species
AGAAGAUGUGAUGCAUUGGCCUCCCCCUGCAGGAGUUGGGAACGCGCAGAUUCCGCGAAUCACAGUUUUCAGAUAUGGCUGAAAUGUGAAUAUUCCGAUUGAAAUGUUAUGAUGAUUACGUGUAUCUGAGAUCUCAAGUGGUGUGCCUGUUUCCAGUGCAGUGGAGCAGCCCAGAAAUCUGAGGGGUGAUUGUGAGUAACGAGUCCUCGUUUCAGCUGCCGCACGUGCGUGUGUUUCUGUUUCUGUUGUAGUGAUAACCCAAGUGAGCAGCUCAGGGAUCAGGACCUGAGGUUUUCAGCACAAACGACAAGAGGUUCAAGUAGAAAAGCAGGUAAGAAGCCCGUUCUAUGGAGCUGGUAUUUCUCUUCUCUCUCUCUCUCUCUCUUUUUGGGGAGCAGUAGCAAGGUUUAUUGUGAAGAGCGAAAGAACAAAGCUUCCACAGUGUGG